UACGUAGGGGGCAAGCGUUGUCCGGAUUUAUUGGGCGUAAAGAGCGUGUAGGCGGCCAGGUAGGUCCGUUGUGAAAACUGGAGGCUUAACCUCCAGCUGUCGAUGGAAACCAUCUGGCUAGAGUCCGGAAGAGGAGAGUGGAAUUCCUGGUGUAGCGGUGAAAUGCGCAGAUAUCAGGAGGAACACCGGUGGCGAAGGCGGGUCUCUGGGCCGAUACUGACGCUGAGGAGCGAAAGCGUGGGGAGCGAACAGG
rnacentral:rRNA from 1 species